ACAUUUAAAGCAUUAGACUAAUUCGUCUCAAUUGAUAGAUCAGGCAUGAGU
rnacentral:sRNA from 1 species